AUGAAACAGACUAAAGAACAUAAACAGGAAGGUACCAGAUCUACAAGGAUAUACAAACUAACAUGUCUAACAGAGGAAUUAAAGACAGUAAUCUAAACACAAGGAUAAAAUGAUCAAUCUAAACAUGAACUGAAAAAAACAACAACUGAAGAACGUAAGGAUAAACAGACUAGGAACUGGAACUCCAAACUUAACACAGGCACAUCAUGGCAGUGUGUGUGGUCAGUGCCACUUAAGGAUCAAUCUAGGCUCCUUCUUUUCUCUUCUCUCCUCUGCUGUAAAAUAAAUCAGAUGUGGACUUGCUGGUGUACUUCAGAUCAUUGUUCUGCUGCAUAACCCAGGUGUGCUGGAGUUGAAGGUCGCCAGACCAUCUUCUGAAAUAUCUGCUAGAGAGCAGAAUUUAUGGUUCCAUGAAUUACAUCAAGAUGUCAAGGUCCAGAUGAAGCAAAGCUGUCCAAGACCACCACGCUACCACCACCAUGUUUGGUUCAAAGAAUACUCUCCAAAACCUUCUGCCGAUCGUUAAGAUGUUUUUGACAAACAUUCACCUUCGGGUUAUUUUGGUCAGCAUUGGGUUUGGAACUGGAAAUCUCCCACCAAUCCCAUUUUUGUCCCGUUUUUAUCUGUUUGUUCAGUAAUGAAGAUUGACAUUAACUGAGGCAAGUGAGAACUGUAGUGCUCUAGAAAUUGUUUUAAGUUCUUUGUGACCUCCUUGAUUGUAUCAUGUGUUCUUGGAGUAAUUUUGGUAGGUUGUCUAUUUUUGGGAAGAUUCACUGCUGUUCCAUGGUUUCUUCAUUUGUAGAUAAUGGAUUUCACUGUAGUCAGAUGGAUUCCCAAAGCCUUCGAAACGGCUUUUUAAUGUUUUGGACACUCAUCUGAUGUUACAUUUCUUUAGAUCAGGGCAUGAUGUGAAGCUUUUCCAGAUCUUGCAGCCUACUUCAUGUUGUGAGACAUUUGAUUGCUUGCUUCCACAGAUCUGGCAUUAAUCAAGCCUGAGUGUGGCAAGGAUAAUUGAACCAAAAAACGUUUUCACAGAUAUUGCAUGAUUUGGCAAGGGGCGCAAGGUUUCUUUCUCACAGGAGGGUUCCAGGUUUAUUUUACUAGCUUUUUCUACCCUAAGAAAAUGUAAUUUUUAUUAGAAAAUUACAUUUUGCAUUUAUUCAGCUUAUCUUUGUCUUCCAUUUUAUUUUGUUUGAUGAUCUGAAACAUUUAAUGUUACAAAACAGCAAAAACACAAGAAAUCUGUAAGAGAGGUGCUGUUUUACGCUUCUGUGCAUAUUAUAUAAAAUCCCCCAAAGUACAUAGAAUUUUAUGGUUCAAAUGUAACAAAAUGUCAAACAGUUUAAGGGGACUAUACACUUAUGCUAAGUCCUCUGUGUUAUUAAAAAUGCGGAUUGCUUUAAAUUUAAUUUAGACAGGACUGUUCUAAAAAUAACUGGAUAUGAAUUGGUCAUGUUUGUCUUGUAAAGUGACUUGAGAAGACAUCUGCUGUAAAAUUGGCCUCAAAUACAUAUACUAAAUUGAAUUGUGUUGGCAGCACAUCACAGAGGACGGAGGCAGCGAUGGUGGCGACCAGCUGGUUGUCUCUGCUUGUCAGUGGGAGGACUCGAGUCCUGCUUAUGGACCCUGAUCACAGGCAGGUGGUGGAGAGGCAACUUUUCUCAUGUUGAGAUUAUCCUCUUUUUAAAGACUUCAGGCUUCUUCCCCCAGGCUGAUGGUAUAAAGUGCUAAUAUGCAUGGUAUAAAGACUAACGAUACCUACA